rnacentral:misc_RNA from 1 species
AACAUCGCGCACCUGCGGGAACCUGCGGAGGGAUCAUUACAGAGUUCGUGCCCUCGCGGGUAGAUCUCCCACCCUUGUGUAUUUUCUACAUCUUGUUGCUUUGGCAGGCCGUUGGUUCGCCAACCACCGGCUCGCGGGCUGGUGCGUGCCUGCCAGAGGACCUCUCAAACUCGGUUUGUUAGUGUCGUCUGAGUACCAUAACAAUCGUUAAAACUUUUAACAACGGAUCUCAGAUCGGAA